AAGAAGUGAAUAGUACCAAAAAAAAGGUGACAUGGUAAAGUGACGUAAGGAAUCUGAAAUAAGGAACAAAAGCCCAAAGCAAGUUUGAAGGCAACAAAUUGAAGAGUUCUUCUACGUAUUAUAAUUCAAAAAAGAAAAUCAUAUGAGACAAAAGAAGAUUCAAGAGCUGCGAUAGAAAAGCUAAUAAAGUAAUUCUACUUGUUCAAAGAACAGGACCUACAAACCACAAAAUGAGAAUGUUACAAUCUCCAUAGUAUUGCUCUUGCUCUGGUUCUUCAAGAAUGUAAACUAUCUUGAUGAACUUGACUUUGAUUUUGAUUCAAAGGCAAGUAAAGCUUGGUCUUAAAUCUCUGUCUUGAACUCGAAUUUAGAUUUGAUUUACUCUUCACAUGUGAUAUGAUGGCCUUCACGAACAAGUAAUUCUCUCUCACGAGCAAGUAACUUGAUCUUAAAUGCCUUGGUAAUUUAUUUGCUUUCGCUCCUGAUCUUGAACUUGAGCACUUAACUUGUAGCUUGUAGAGAAUCUGCGGCCUUUGAUCUACGAGCUCUCUGCUCGCUUCUUGUUCUUAAUUCCGGUGUCUUCUAGCCUUAAGAAGACAUCUAUUUAUAGUUGUAGGGAGUGGUUUGGCUCCGCGAUUUGAUUAGUCUGUUUGAACUGACCAAUGUCAUCUAGACACUUAAACAACUCUAUUAGUUGUUGGUUUGACUUGGUAUGCCACCCUUUCUUGACACAUGGCAUGAUUUCUUUAGCUUAUUUAUUUGGCUUGAAUUGUCAUAUCACUUGACACGUGUCAUAAUUUCUUCAUUGGCUCAUUUAUUUGGCUUGGAUUGCCACAUCACUUAACACAUGGCAUGAACCUGGCUUUAAGACUAGUCACUUGUACUUUGGGCUAGUAAAAUGAGCUCAUCUUUUGCAGUCCAACAAAAUGAUUUGGCCCAAAUAAAAUUAGACUUAAAUUCAGAGCCAUGAUGGAAUUAGAUAAUUAAAUUAAAUUUGGACCAUGUAUUUCUCGAAUCUAGGAACUUGUCAAAAUUUAACAUGGACUUUAAUUCCAUAACAAUUUACACGUUUAUAGGGUCACCAACGAAACUCAACCAAACACUAAACUAUUACCCGACAGAAAUAGAAGACAAAAGGGUACUCAUUUGAUCAUUCUUAAUAUCUUCCAUCAAUUUAAUAAUAACUAGAUAUAUAUAUAUAUAUAAUGCUAUAACCAAUUAGAAAAUUAUUUGUUUUCAUAAAUCCUUCUUCUAUACUAUAACAACAACAACAUAUAUCGUCUUUUGUUGCUUUCUUGAGUCGUGGGUCUCCUGGAAACAGCCUCUCCGCCCCUCGGGGUAGGGGGAAGGCUUACGUACAUAUUACAGUCCCGAAACUCCACUUGUGGGAUUAUACUGGAUCGUUGUUGUUGUAAUCCCAAACAAGUUGGAAUCUGUGGCAUGUCCAAUAAUGAUGAUGACAAUAACCUAUUAGAAGAACAUA
rnacentral:lncRNA from 1 species